CCUACGGGGGGCAGCAGUAGGGAAUAUUGCUCAAUGGGGGAAACCCUGAAGCAGCAACGCCGCGUGGAGGAUGAAGGUUUUCGGAUUGUAAACUCCUUUUGUUAGAGAAGAUAAUGACGGUAUCUAACGAAUAAGCACCGGCUAACUCAGUGCCAGCAGCCGCGGUAAUACGGAGGGUGCAAGCGUUACUCGGAAUCACUGGGCGUAAAGAGGGCGUAGGCGGGAUAGCAAGUCAGAUGUGAAAUCCUAUGGCUUAACCAUAGAACUGCAUUUGAAACUGUUAUUCUAGAGUAUGGGAGAGGUAGGUGGAAUUCUUGGUGUAGGGGUAAAAUCCGUAGAGAUCAAGAGGAAUACUCAUUGCGAAGGCGACCUGCUAGAACAUAACUGACGCUGAUGCGCGAAAGCGUGGGGAGCAAACAGGAUUAGAUACCCUAGUAGUC
rnacentral:rRNA from 1 species